CAGUACUGCUCAGCAGCAGUUAGCUAAAGAACGAGGAAGAAAUGUCUACGCCAUCUUUGAUUUAACGCUCGCCGUUUAAACUUACAGAGCAAACAACCACCUUUCCAUCAGUCAGUGUUAUAUUUUAUCAUUAACUUCUUAUUUAUCUUUCUUAAAUUACUCCGGCAGUGAAUUAAAUUAACUCCUAAUAGAUUGAAAUGUUCAGAUUCUGCUGAGAAGCGUCAACGAGCGUUGGCUAGCUGCCUGGACGCUACUUUCCCAGCACCGAGCUUUCCCAGUCGAGGCACAUCAUGUGGUGAUGGAUAUCAGCCAGGACCGGGACAGAGAGUGCAAUGAGUUUGGAGAGUACAGAUGAAGACGGAGGACAUCAGAAGGGAAGAAUUUAGAAGAAAAGGGGAGAAAAGGGAGGUCAGGUAUGUAAACAAAGGAAGUGAAGUAGAUGGAGAUGUUCAUGAGGAAAGUUGUGUGAAGUUUCGUGAGUCAAAGUAGAUGGGAGACGAUGAAGGAAUGAGAUAAAGCUGAGAAAAAAAACAAGCCCUGGUUCCCAUACUUUCUCUGCUUUUCACCUUAUUUUAUGUCCAUGUGUUUUGUUUUUCUAAAAACCACCAAAAAAAAGUUCAAUAAAAGUGCAGCUCUGGUUUUAUCGUUUUCACCCCUCCUUCUUCUUGCAUCCUACUGCUCUGCCCCCUCCACCCUCACACUGCCUCUCACUCUGCACUCAUUCUUUUAUUCUCCUGUAGCCUUUCCUCUUCGCCCCGAGUCAACGAUUGUUGUUCACUUUGGCA